UACGUAGGGUGCAAGCGUUAAUCGGAAUUACUGGGCGUAAAGCGUGCGCAGGCGGUUAUGUAAGACAGGUGUGAAAUCCCAGGGCUUAACCUUGGAACUGCAUUUGUGACUGCAUAGCUAGAGUACGGUAGAGGGGGAUGGAAUUCCGCGUGUAGCAGUGAAAUGCGUAGAUAUUGGGAAGAACACCGGUGGCGAAGGCGGCGACCUGGUCCGAUACUGACGCUGAGGAGCGAAAGCCAGGGGAGCAAACGGG
rnacentral:rRNA from 1 species